GUGGUUACCAAGGGCAACGGCGCGCCGAUUGGCUGCGCGCAAGUCUCAACUAACACUACUCUCUUUGUUGGAGAGGUGCAAGUUGAGGCUCCCGUGGAAGCGGAGAGCCGGAGUGCAGCAUGGAGAGACGGAGCACCGGGAUGAGCAGUGCAGCUUUCCCUCCCCUGCCUGUCUGAGCACAGUUCCUUCAUCUUUUGCAUCUGAGGAGGCUGACUGUUGCACCUGCGCCAUGGCGACGUCUUGGACGACCUGCGAUGAGAAGAAGAAAAGACAACAACAAGGCAGCGAGGGCUGCAGCUAAUGGAGAGGCUGUAAUUGUGAAUGGAGGCAUUCAUCUGGAGACGUCGUCCGUGAAUUGCGCUGCACAAUACCCAGCGCCGGGCUGCUCAGAUCACCAACCAGUCACCAAACACACACACACACACACACACACACACACACACACACACACACACACACACACACACACACACACACACACACACACACACACACUGAACCCUCAGAUCACUGGUGCUCAGAGGAGGAACGUAAUCACACCUCCGCAGAGAGAAAGACACCGAGGAGGGGAGGAGAGAAGGAGGAGAGGAGCUGGAGGGGAGGAUGGGAAGAAGAGAGGAGAAAUUAUACAAGGAGAGAGGAGGAGAGGAAGGGGAGGAGGAGGAAACGGAAUGGUGAAAUUGAUGUUUCCUACCAUUUGAUUUGGGCCAUGGAGCCCAGGAGGCAGAUCAGAUAGAGCUACAUGCACACAUCACCCAUAACACACACAUACACACUGAAAGAUACAAGCACACACUCACACACGGACACCUAUACAUGAAAGUAGGCCUGUAUGCGCAUACAUUUAAGAUUAUAAAUCCUUAUAAACAUUCAGUAUAUAACUUGUAGGAGCUCAGAGAACCAUCUCAUGAUCCUCCUGCUUCCUUAUGCUUGAAACAGUCAAACUCACAUCACACACACACUUCCACACAUUCCCUCUCCAAACAUACAGCAUUAAGUCAAAACACACAGAAACACAGCUAAAAGAGACACAACAAAGCCGACGGUAUAGAAAACCCCCCCUCAAACUCUCAUCUUGGCGAGGCGAGACGAGGCACCUGUCAGCUCGGCGGCUCCUGCUACUACAGAGAAACAUCAGGAAACAACAACUCAAUUAAACACACCAUCCCUGUUCAAUUACUGCCACAUAAUCACAGCAAUUUACCUUCACUGGCUGCACAGCCACCAAACAAACACACACUGGGGCAAACACAGUUACAGAGGCAGAAAAACACCCACACGGACAAGGCUGGAUCACAAAGACAACCAGGCUGGAGCUGUGGCUUCAUCCUACAUAUCAUGAGUGUAAACCUCACUGUGAGCUUUGUGCACGGUAAAUGGCAUAAAACCAACAUGGAGGACGUUAGCAAAGAGCCGUUUUAGUGAGUUGUUUACUUACUGUAUCUCUAAAGAAUAACUGCAUUGCCAAACAUUACAUGACAUCAUAAAUAUCUGAUUUUGUGCAGCAAAUGCAGCCGGGUACAUUCAAGGCUAAACGCUGUGUGCAAGUACAAACUUAUUCGCUUUACGAAAUAGUCUGUGACCAAGUCUGCUAAUUAAAUUGCAAAUGAAAAGGGAAUUAAAUGAAUCUGGGAAUAUCUUGCACCUUCUUGAUAAGCAGGAAGAUCAGAGAGCUCAGAAUCAUCAAUCAGUUGCCAUUAUAUCCCAUUCCAGCAUAAAAUCUUUCUCUUACAAUAGCAACCACAUUUUAUUUGUUUGCUCCUGAUAUUAUUAUCCACUGAAUGGCAAAAAUAUUUGUAAUUUUAUCUUGCCCAGAAAUCAGUUUAAUCUCAAUUAAGACAGCAUAUACUGAGCUGCCAGUUUAUGUGCUUAGCCAAAAUAAAUGCAGUCUACGACAGCAGUCCUGCAAUAAAUCCUGUUUUUAUGAAA